UAUAUCUCUUACCAUUCAAAUAUUUAUAUUGCUUUAAAACCAUCCAUUCAAUAUAUCUCUUAAAUCAUGUGUUCACUAUUCUCUUCUUCUUCUCUUUACGCCAACAUUGCUGGGAGAACUGCUCCUCUUGCAACUACAAAACCAGCAGUCCAAAGGAGUUACUGGUCUUGAAGAUGAUCUCCAUCUUCCUCCUUCGAUUUUUCUCCCUUUAUUGGGUCUUGGGGUGCCAAGCCAAAACCAGCCCCGGCAUCAAGGACACCAGCAAAGCAAAAGGAAAUUGUUUAUUCCAUCAACUUAAGUUACUUCACAAAUUUGCAAACUAUUGA